GUUUGCAGGGUUUAUCAAGGGCGAAGUUAUCAGAUACAUUAGAACAACAAAUCAUGAUGUUGAUUUACAAUAUAUUUUGUUACAGUUCAGAUUGACCUUAAUAAAGAGAGGAUACAAGGAUAUUGAAAUCGAAAAGUACAUAACUGAGGCAUUAUCAUUUAAUAGAUCUGAUUUAGUCAGAAAAAAGGCCAAACAAAACACAAAGGAAGUUCCUUUAGUAUUGGCAACGAAAUUUAAUCCAUGCAUUCAUAAAUUAAAACAAUGCAUUAGUAAACAUUGAGAUCUACUAAAACAGGAUGCAGUUUGCAACGAAAUAUUUUCAAGCAAACCAAUAAUAGCUUAUAAAAAGCAUAACAAUAUUGCAGACAUAUUGACAACGACAAC
rnacentral:lncRNA from 1 species